rnacentral:rRNA from 1 species
GUGGGGAAUUUUGGACAAUGGGCGCAAGCCUGAUCCAGCCAUGCCGCGUGAGUGAAGAAGGCCUUCGGGUUGUAAAGCUCUUUCGGCCGGGACGAAAUCGCUCUCGCUAAUAUCGGGAGUGGAUGACGGUACCGGAAUAAGAAGCACCGGCUAACUACGUGCCAGCAGCCGCGGUAAUACGUAGGGUGCGAGCGUUAAUCGGAAUUACUGGGCGUAAAGCGUGCGCAGGCGGUUCCGCAAGUCAGAUGUGAAAUCCCCGGGCUUAACCUGGGAACUGCGUUUGAAACUACGGAGCUGGAGUACGGCAGAGGGAGGUGGAAUUCCAAGUGUAGCAGUGAAAUGCGUAGAUAUUUGGAGGAACACCAAUGGCGAAGGCAGCCUCCUGGGCUAGUACUGACGCUCAUGCACGAAAGCGUGGGGAGCAAACAGGAUUAGAUACCCCGGUAGUCC